UGCUGGAGGUAUCAGAAGUGCGAAUGCUGACAUAAGUAACGAUAAAGCGGGUGAAAAGCCCGCUCGCCGGAAGACCAAGGGUUCCUGUCCAACGUUAAUCGGGGCAGGGUGAGUCGACCCCUAAGGCGAGGCCGAAAGGCGUAGUCGAUGGGAAACAGGUUAAUAUUCCUGUACUUGGUGUUACUGCGAAGGGGGGACGGAGAAGGCUAUGUUAGCCGGGCGACGGUUGUCCCGGUUUAAGCAUGUAGGCUGGUUGUCCAGGCAAAUCCGGAUAAUCAAGGCUGAGGUGUGAUGACGAGGCACUACGGUGCUGAAGUAACAAAUGCCCUGCUUCCAGGAAAAGCCUCUAAGCAUCAGGUAACAUCAAAUCGUACCCCAAACCGACACAGGUGGUCAGGUAGAGAAUACCAAGGCGCUUGAGAGAACUCGGGUGAAGGAACUAGGCAAAAUGGUGCCGUAACUUCGGGAGAAGGCACGCUGGUGUGUAGGUGAAGUCCCUGCGGAUGGAGCUGAGACCAGUCGAAGAUACCAGCUGGCUGCAACUGUUUAUUAAAAACACAGCACUGUGCAAACACGAAAGUGGACGUAUACGGUGUGACGCCUGCCCGGUGCCGGAAGGUUAAUUGAUGGGGUUAUCCGUAAGGAGAAGCUCUUGAUCGAAGCCCCGGUAAACGGCGGCCGUAACUAUAACGGUCCUAAGGUAGCGAAAUUCCUUGUCGGGUAAGUUCCGACCUGCACGAAUGGCGUAAUGAUGGCCAGGCUGUCUCCACCCGAGACUCAGUGAAAUUGAACUCGCUGUGAAGAUGCAGUGUACCCGCGGCAAGACGGAAAGACCCCGUGAACCUUUACUAUAGCUUGACACUGAACAUUGAGCCUUGAUGUGUAGGAUAGGUGGGAGGCUUUGAAGCGUGGACGCCAGUCUGCGUGGAGCCAACCUUGAAAUACCACCCUUUAAUGUUUGAUGUUCUAACGUUGGCCCCUUACCGGGGUUGCGGACAGUGUCUGGUGGGUAGUUUGACUGGGGCGGUCUCCUCCCAAAGCGUAACGGAGGAGCACGAAGGUUAGCUAAUCCUGGUCGGACAUCAGGAGGUUAGUGCAAUGGCAUAAGCUAGCUUGACUGCGAGCGUGACGGCGCGAGCAGGUGCGAAAGCAGGUCAUAGUGAUCCGGUGGUUCUGAAUGGAAGGGCCAUCGCUCAACGGAUAAAAGGUACUCCGGGGAUAACAGGCUGAUACCGCCCAAGAGUUCAUAUCGACGGCGGUGUUUGGCACCUCGAUGUCGGCUCAUCACAUCCUGGGGCUGAAGUAGGUCCCAAGGGUAUGGCUGUUCGCCAUUUAAAGUGGUACGCGAGCUGGGUUUAGAACGUCGUGAGACAGUUCGGUCCCUAUCUGCCGUGGGCGCUGGAGAAUUGAGGGGGGCUGCUCCUAGUACGAGAGGACCGGAGUGGACGCAUCACUGGUGUUCGGGUUGUCAUGCCAAUGGCA
rnacentral:rRNA from 1 species